rnacentral:ribozyme from 13 species
AAGGAAAGAGAGAAGAAGACAAAAAUGGAGAGAGAGAAAAAAAGAAAAAAAUGACUUUUGAUAAUUGGGAUAUUUUGAGUGGAAAUAUUCGGUAUUAUUUACCAAAUUUCUCUUCUUCUUCUCUUUCUUCUUCUUCUUCA